rnacentral:rRNA from 1 species
UCAGGCAUUGCCUCAGUAACGGCGAGUGAAGCGGCAAAAGCUCAAAUUUGAAAUCCCCCGGGAAUUGUAAUUUGAAGAGAUUUGGGUCCGGCCGGCGGGGGUUAAGUCCACUGGAAAGUGGCGCCACAGAGGGUGACAGCCCCGUGAACCCCCUCAACGCCUUUAUCCCAGAUCUCCAAGAGUCGAGUUGUUUGGGAAUGCAGCUCUAAGUGGGUGGUAAAUUCCAUCUAAAGCUAAAUACCGGCGAGAGACCGAUAGCGAACAAGUACAGUGAUGGAAAGAUGAAAAGCACUUUGAAAAGAGAGUGAAAAAGUACGUGAAAUUGUUGAAAGGGAAGGGCUUGCAAGCAGACACUUAACUGGGCCAGCAUCGGGGCGGCGGGAAACAAAACCACCGGGGAAUGUACCUUUCGAGGAUUAUACCCCUGGUCUCUAUUUCCAUGUUGCCCCGAGGCCUGCAUUCUAAGGAUGCUGGCGUAAUGGUUGCAAGUCGCCCGUCUUGAACC